AUUGAACGCUGGCGGCAUGCUUUACACAUGCAAGUCGAACGGCAGCGCGGGCUUCGGCCUGGCGGCGAGUGGCGAACGGGUGAGUAAUGCAUCGGAACGUGCCCAGUAGUGGGGGAUAGCCCGGCGAAAGCCGGAUUAAUACCGCAUACGACCUGAGGGUGAAAGCGGGGGACCGAAAGGCCUCGCGCUAUUGGAGAGGCCGAUGUCGGAUUAGCUAGUUGGUGGGGUAAAGGCUUACCAAGGCGACGAUCCGUAGCCGGUCUGAGAGGACGACCAGCCACACUGGGACUGAGACACGGCCCAGACUCCUACGGGAGGCAGCAGUGGGGAAUUUUGGACAAUGGGGGCAACCCUGAUCCAGCCAUGCCGCGUGAGAGAAGAAGGCCUUCGGGUUGUAAACCGCUUUUGUUCGGGAAGAAAUCCUCUGGGCUAAUACCCCGGGGGGAUGACGGUACCGGAAGAAUAAGCACCGGCUAACUACGUG
rnacentral:rRNA from 1 species